GGGCCUCACUGCAGCUGCCUCCUUCGUCUGCGCGAGGCUGGAUGUCUACAUCAAGAGAAGCGGUGGUUAAAUGUAAGUUUAUUUUUUCAUCACGAGAAGGAGUAAUUUUCUUUGAGGUGCGGUAGUAGUUGCGUUUUCCAUCCGCUGGGUGGGCUCAGGAUAUUACGAUUCAUCACUCAUUAAAGUGGUUCUCUGCUCUCUUUGGCGAAGCGUAUCAAAUAACAGCGCGAUGGUCAUUAUCCUUUGAUAUGUUCCAGUGCUCUCAGAUACGACUCCCCGCUGUUCAUUCCUGACGUAACGAUGUUUUGUGGUGUUGACAAUACUCGGCAGGAUCGGCGAGUUUUGAUGGCGCUGCGCUACGUUCCUCCGAUGCUAAUGGUUACCUCGAAAUGGGAUACAGCACGCAGAAACGUAAAUGGCAUAGUGUACCCUUUAAAUGUAUAUAAUUACAACCAUACCGAGCCCCUAGCAAGCGUCGGAGUGAGGGACGCACAUCUUCAUUAGUUAUAGGUAAGCAGCCACGUUUUCAAAUCGCGCAAAACACCCCCGCAGAGUUUAUAGAAAAUGAGCAUUUUGUGCGCGGCUCACAGAAAACUUUCCCCGCCCGUUUUUUAUGCUCCGCGGCGUAAAAUCCUAGCGAGGAAAAAACUGCUGCUGUUGCCUGGGUGGGACUUGUGCAGGCUCAGAGGAGCCGUGCAAUCCGCAGGUUUUGUGUCUCUCUCGACUCUUGUGCCUCCCGCAGCCCUUCCGGGAACCCGCAGGACCUUCAGGAUAGCCUAGUGAGUGUUACGGAAGGAAGGAAAAGGCUUUUACGGCCUCGCAUGUGAGCUUUAGCGGAGAUAUUGAACCGUCGAGCGGCUAGCCGGCCUCCCUGUCCAGCCUGGCGCGGGCAGACAUUUUGAAUUCUGCGUGAGGCCGGAGAGUGAGUGAAGUGAGUGACGUAGAGGGAUUAUUGGGUGGCCGAGACGCGGCUUUGUGAAGCGAGGUGUCCACUGCAAGUCACUGAACUCCCGAGGGAACUUUGUCAUCCCUCCACCGCCUUCAUUCCCCGCCAGGAGCCCAGCCAGCCUCCGCCGCGCAGCCCAGCCUGCUCCCGGCGCAUGUGCCCCCGUCCCCCCGCGCCACCCUCACCUCCACCAUUGCAAGGAUGGAAUUCAUCACUCUCAAAUGCUUUGAUAUACUGCAACAUGCAUCAUCACCACAAAACCUGACUCGUUACGCAGAGUCAUCCUUGCCUGUACCACACACACACACACACACACACACACACACACACACACACACACACACACACACACACACACACACACAGCAUCCCGUCGCCUCGCCUCCAUCCUGCAGCCUACUGGGAGGAAAAACCUGCGGCAUAACUCAGCGAGGCGAGGCGUACAGGCAGAGCAGGCUGACCAAGAACACCUGAGGAGAAGGCAGGCGGGUGAAUAACGCAUGCGGACACCAAGGAAUGAAGGAAAAGGAGGAAAAACAGGGAAAAUAGUCGACGUGAAACGAGAAUUCGAAGGAGAUGUGAAGAGAAAGGCAAGCAGGAUACGGACAAGCAGGCUGAGAGGUGUGUUGCCGCUUCUCAGGAGGGUUGUGUCGCGGUACAAAGGUCCAACAGAUGCAUUCCCUAAGUGCCCUAAGACGAGGCUCGGGUCCCUGUGAGCGCCAAGCAGCGGAACGCAUCGUAACUGCCACAUCAAGAAGCACAAAACACAGCACGUGCUUGCUGAUGCUCAAAGGCCGCCAUCCCCGCUCGCCGGCUCCGCGUGUUUGCUUCAUCACUGUCAAAAGUUCGCCGAGCGGCCUUUAUCACCGUCGGAGCGGCUCCCAGGGGCGUCAUUAACGUCAGGGUAUCACCGCCUCAACACACCAUCACGCGGGGCCUCCUGUGAAUCGCCACAACAAAGAUGCCCUGGACACGUACAGCACAAACGUAUCUCACUGAAAUAGACAGGCUCUCCAGGGCACCACACCACACAACACCUCCAGUGAAUCACCGCAACAAAGAUGCCCUGCACAACACACACACAAACACACACACACACACACAACAAAACGAAUCUCACUAAAACAGACGCGUUCUCCAGGGUACCACACACACCACCAAAGUUAUACGUACGUCACGGGCAUAUCCUCCUGCCCAUCAACACCCAGACACCUUGUAUUUCUCUUUCUCAAAGUUUGGUACCUGUAAGUAAUGUCAUCUUUGAAAAAUGUCCCCGCUAUUGUGAAGAAUCUGAUUUAGCUAUGACGAGGUCUAGACUAGUGGUUAUAUAAUUUUGUCCCUGAGCCUGAACCACCAUCGCCAGUAACACAAUGCUCACGCCGCGGCCAAGGAGGAGCCUCGCCUUGACACAGCAGGUCACGUCCCAAGAGGCAUCCAACACACGCCUUUCGCUGCCUUGUUCAGCCUUCUUGCCUCCCUCCUGCCUCUCAAGGUACACGUGCACACAACGCCUGGCCAGAGCUGUGCAUGACCGGCGGGACACAGCGUCACCUCCUGCCUGUGCUGCUGUGCGCCCACCACCACCACCACCACCACCACACCUCCAAUCGCCUUCCACACCCAGCCAGUCAAUACCUCUCUCUCCUCUAUAGAAACUUUUUCUGUCUUUCUUUCGCCGCCCUCCGCGCCGCCUCCCUCCCUCCCUCCCUUCCUACUACCCCCCUCUCCCCGCCACACUUUAUGAAGAGUCGGCGCUCUUCUCCUAUCAUCUCUAUGGUAUCUCAGUAAUGCAAGUACAGAUCAAUUUCACGAAGUAUUUGUAAAAAGUUCAACUUCAAUAGCAUUCCUGACAUUUUGCUUCAUUGCGCGUCCCUCAACAUGGCUCGUGCGCCGAGCACCUCUCCUCAUCAGCCUCAUCACCGUCACCUGUUGCACAUAAAUUUUAAACGCAUGAUUCUGUGUAAUAAGUUUAAUAAAUUUUACGAAAUCAG